GGCUCGGUAGCUUAAUUGGUAAAGCACUUGUCUGGCAUACGACAGUCCUGGGUUCGAAUCCCAGCUGAGCAG